rnacentral:misc_RNA from 1 species
CAGUUGUGUGUUUACCUGUCUUACAUCCAGGAAUCUCUAAAAAUAAGGUGAAAUCAUGACUUCUUUUCUUGCAACAACUCCAUUCUUUCAUUCCAUCACGAAAUAUAGGUCCCGAAUCAUGGUAUUGACAAGAACCUUCAGGAUUAUCGUCUUCGGUGAAGGUGGCGUUGCAUCCGAUUCGCUGGCACCGAUGCCUAACAACCUCCUCCUGCUCCAUUUUCUUCACCUCUCAAGUUGGUGUUAGAAGACUGCGAAGACUUCACUGCAAUCUGAUGCACUUUAUUUUUAUGCAAAGUUGGAC